UACGUAGGGUGCGAGCGUUGUCCGGAAUUAUUGGGCGUAAAGAGCUCGUAGGCGGUGUGUCACGUCGGCCGUGAAAACCUGCAGCUUAACUGUGGGCGUGCGGUCGAUACGGGCAUCACUGGAGUUCGGCAGGGGAGACUGGAAUUCCUGGUGUAGCGGUGAAAUGCGCAGAUAUCAGGAGGAACACCGGUGGCGAAGGCGGGUCUCUGGGCCGAUACUGACGCUGGAGGAGCGAAAGCCAUGGGGAGCGAACAGG
rnacentral:rRNA from 1 species